ACAACGCCAUUAAAAACUAGCGAAUUUUCAAAGAAUCAUAUACAUCGAGUAAAAUCUAGCAUUUUAUUCUUUAUAAAAAAACUUUCCAAAGUGUCACACGUGGAAAAUGCUAAACUUAAAAUUUAAUAAAAUGCUUCUAACAAAAUGCAGCUAAAAGUGUUUAAAUAUUAAACACGUGUUUGUGCUGAAAAAAUUUGAUAAUCUAAAAUGGCGUCCUAAGAUGGAAAAAUAAGGAAAUGGCUUAUUUUGAUGUGAAAAAUAUGAUAAAAACUAAAAUGGCGUCCUAAGGAUAAAAUACAUUUAAGGAAAACUUUGAUGUUAAAAGGAACACUUCCAUAAAAUCUUAUUUGAGAUGUAGCCGUAAUAUAUUUAUGUGAAAAGGUAUUAAAAUGCUACUCACUGAAUAUUUGAGCUGAUUUCCAACUGUAUGGAGAAAAAUCUAGAAAUGGCAUUACAACAAGACUUACUUUAGAAUCAGGUCAUGGACGUACGAAAUUUAGCAACAGUUUAAUUACACAGGCUAUUUAUCAUUUAUCCAAUUGCAUCUGUGGAGUCUAUAAAAUCAUUUCCAUUAUGAAAAAGUGGAAGAAGUAACAAGGCGAAUUUAUACAAGUUUGUCUUGAUGUAAAGAAGAAUCUUAAAUAAAAAAAAUGUAAAAUGAAA